GUGUAGCUCAGUGGUAGAGUUCAUGCUUAGCAUGCAUGAAGUCCUGGGUUCAAUCCCCAACAC
rnacentral:tRNA from 1 species